UCAUCCUCGUUGAGCUUCAUUCUUUGGGCAAAGAAAACAUCGUCAAAUGGGUCCUCGUCAUCAUUAGUUUUGAUAAAGAUAACAGAAAUCAUAGGUAUUCAUCCUCAUAAGGAGAAGCUUAUCAUCUCCCCCCCCCCCAAGUGAGACGAUUGUGGGACAUGAAAUGAUCCCACCCUUCUCCUCCCAUCUGGGUCAUCCUAUAGGAGAUAUGCCUAGAGGAAAUAAUAAUAGUUACACCCUCCAUUCCAGAAUAUAAGGAGUACUGGUUUCCGUGCAUGUCAAACUUAUGUAUGUUUAACAAAUAUUAUAGAAUAAAAUUUCAACAUCUAUGGUGUCUACUACACAACUUUAUUCUUGCAGACUAUGUUGGCCCUCCAAGCACAGAGUUUUGUAGGAUAGUGGAAAAUUUCCUCAAGUGCAUGACCUAAGGUUUAUCAAUCCGCGAGAGGUGUAGGAUGAAGGUGUCAAACAACCCUGCAAUCAAAUGCAAGAAAUUGCUUGUGUCCCCAACACACCAAAUACAAUGGCAAAUUGUAUAGGUGCACUAGUUCGGCAAAGAGAUGGUGAUACAAGUGUAAUAUGGAUAGUAGAUAAAGGUUUUUGUAAUAUGAAAUAAUAAUAAAAACAUAAAAAGUGAUAAAAGUGAUCAAAACGGUAUUGCAAUGCUUGUAAACAAGGCCUAGGGUUCAUACUUUCACUAGUGCAAUCUCUUAAUAGUGCUAACAUAAUUGUAUCAUAUAACCAUGCCUUAACAUGCGCUAAAGAAUCUCUCCAAAGUUCUUAUCAAUAAUGAAGAACAUAAUACGAAAUUGUUGUAGGUUGCAAACCACCUCAGAGUUAUCCUUUUCGAUCGAUCUAUGGAGCCAUACCUAUAAGUGUCACAAACAUCCCUAGAGUUCGAACUACAAUAACACCAUAUGAUAUGCAUCAAUCAACUCUAAUGUCACCUAGAUACUCCAAUGCCACCACAACUAUCCGUGGGUUAAUUAUUUGACAUGCAUCAAACAAUUUAAGAUUUGUAAUAUUCAAUCCAACACCAAGAACUUCAAAGAGUACCCUGAAAGUUUCUGUCGGAGAAAGUAAGGAGAAAACGUGUAUCAACCUAUGUGCCUAGAUUACCCCAUUGUCACCUUGGGAAUCUGCAAGUUGAUUACCAAAACAUACAUCAAGUAACUCAAUAAUAUACCCCAUUGUCACCACAUGUAUCCACAUGCAAGAUAUACAUCAAGUGUUCUCAAAUCCAAAAUGUUCAAUCCGAUAAUAAUGAAACCUCAAAGGGAAAGACUCAAUUCAUCACAAGGACAUAGAGAGGGAAGAACAACAUAUGAUCCAACUAUAUUAACAAAGCUCGUGGUACAUCAAGAUCGUGUCAAAUCAAGAAAAGAGAGAGAGAGAGAGAGAGAGAGAGAGAGAGAGAGAUCAAACACAUGGAUACUGGUACAUACCCACGGCCCCGAGGGUGAACUACUCCCUCCUCGUCACAGAGGCUGUUGGGAUGAUGAAGAUGGCCGUCGGUGAUGAUUUCCCUCUCAAGUAGAGCACUAAAAAAGGGCUCCACACGAGAUAGCUUUGGAACAUAGGAUUGUGGAGGCGGGGUAAAAGUUUUAGGUUUCUUUCUAGGGGUUUUGUUAUUAAUUUCAUGCGAUGGGGAUACCCGGGGGAGCCACGAGCGCUGCAAGCCCGCCCUUGAGCUCGUGGCUCCCCUGGACUUCGUUUGGUCCACCUCCAAGGAUUUGUGGGUCUCUUUUUGUCCCUAAAAAAUCACCGUAAAGUUUCAUGACAAUUUUACUUCAUUUGUUCUGGAUUUUUUGUGAAACAAAUAAUAGCCAAAAAGCCGAAACUCGCACUCGACACUAGGUCAAUAGGUUAGUUCAUCAAAAUCAUAUAAAAGUGUACCAAAACCAUAUAAAUCAUUGUACAAAUGGCAUGAAUACUUCAUAAAUUAUAUAUGUGUUGGAGACGUAUCAAUCUAAAAUAUAAAAUAAAUAAAAUAUGAAAAUACUCUCCAUGAUGGAUAUAAUGAUACAAUUAUUGUGAUGUUGAUGUCCAUAGUAUUUUCCUAAAAAACUUGGUCCAACAAGCAGACUUUGAAGAAAACGGACACACAUUAUAUUUUCGAAUGGAGUGUUGGAGAACGUUGCAUGGGAAACAAAAAAAAUCCUACGAACACCCAAGAUAUAUUUGUAGACCGUUAAGCGAAAGUGUAUAUUACACAAUUGAUGUAGUCGUACUCUUCAUGAUCCAAUUGCAAUCCAAUCCAAUCUAGCGCCGAACGGAUGGCACCUCCGUAUUCAGCACAUGUGCGGCUCGAUGACGUCUUCUCCUUCUUGAUCCAUCAAGCAAGGGAGAAGUAUAUGGGAUCACAACUAGCACGCCGGCGUGGUGGUUAUGGUGGUGGCGUGGGUUUCGGCACGACUUUACUAAGCACUACUGAAAACCCGAUCUACGAAGGAACGGGAUCUCAUCCGGGACUCCGAACAACAUUCAGUCACCAACGUGAAUAUCUCUAUACUACUCUUGCGUCACCGAACGUUAAGCGUGCGGACCCUACGGGUCCGAGAAUCGUGUGGACAUGACCGAGAUACCUCUCCGAUCAAUAACCAAUAGUGGGACCUAAAUGCCCAUAUUGGUUCCCACAUAUUCCACAAAGAUCACUACCGGUCGAACCAUGAUGUCAAGGAUUCAGUUAAUCCCGUAUUCAGUUCCUUUGUCCAGCGGUAUGCUACUUGCCCAAGAUUCGAUCAUCGGUAUCUCCAUACCUAGUUCAAUCUCGUUAUCGGCAAGUCUCUUUAUUGUUUUGUAAUACAAGAUCUUGUGACUAACUCCUUAGUCACAUUGCUUGCAAGCUUCUUUUGAUGUUGUAUUACUGAGAGGGCCCAGAGAUACAUCUUUGUCAUACAGAGUGACAAAUCCCAAUCUCGAUCCAUGCCAACCCAACACACACCCUCAAAGAUACCUGUAGAGCACCUUUAUGAUCACCCAGUUAUGAAGUGAUGUUUCAUGCACACAAGGCAUUCCUCCGAUGUCAGGGAGUUGCAUGAUCUCAUGGUCUUAGGAACAAAUACUUGACAUGAAGAAAGAAGUAGCAACAAACUAAGUGAUACAAUCAAAUGUCAUGCUUACGGUUGGGUCUUGUCCAUCACAUCAUUCUCCUAAUGAUGUGAUCCCCUUAUCAAAUGACAACUCAUGUAUAUGAUUAGGAAACCUUAAUCAUCUUUGAUCGACAAGCUAGUCUAGUAGAGGCUCACUAGGUACAAGGUGUUGUUUAUGUAUCCACACAUGUAUCUAAGUUUUAGGUCAAUACAAUUCUAGCAUGGAUAAUAAACGUUUAUCAUGAACAAUAAAAUAUGAUAAUAAACAAUUUAUUAUUGCCUCUAGGGCAUAUUUCCCACAUGAAGGAAGUAUUAUUUAUCUCCAAGGUUGUAAUUUAAGUUUAUGAUAUAUGCUACAAUUGCAAUGGUCCUUGAGACCGUAUAUCCAUAAAGGAUCAGAGGAAAACCCAUGUGCAUGUGAAGGUAAAAUGUAUUCCUAGUCGUGCCUCUAAGACUAGUUCAAGUGUUGCAUAAUGUUCACAUUUUAUUGAUCAUGGGCAUGAGUAUGUCGGAAACUUUGAGGACACAAUGUUAGAAUAACACUUCUUUUGAACCGUCCCAAUUGAUGAUAUGCUACGAGAUACAUUCGUCGCAAGUUAAUGGUUUAUAACACAAAGAAAUUUAGACGUUUGCAUAAUUUCUCUGACCAUGAGAGUAUCGAGCUCCUUCAUAUUUGCUUCAUGAACCUUGGGGUUUGUUAGAUGUUAUCUAUAACAGGGUGGCUAUUACAAUGGCUUACGGGUUCACGGAAAAGUAUGAUGAGGGACUAGAUACAUGAAGAUUGGUAUUUUUGUUGGGGAACGUCGCAUGGGAAACAAAAAAUUUCCUACGCGCACGAAGACCUAUCAUGGUGAUGUCCAUCUACGAGAGGGGAUGAGUGAUCUACGUACCCUUGUAGAUCGUACAGCAGAAGCGUUAGAGAACGCGGUUGAUGUAGUGGAACGUCCUCACGUCCCUCGAUCCACCCCGCGAACAAUCCCGCGAUCAGUCCCACGAUCUAGUACCGAACGGACGGCACCUCCGCGUUCAGCACACGUACAGCUCGACGAUGAUCUCGGCCUUCUUGAUCCAGCAAGAGAGACGGAGAGGUAGAAGAGUUCUCCGGCAGCGUGACGGCGCUCCGGAGGUUGGUGAUGACCUUGUCUCAGCAGGGCUCAGCCCGAGCUCCGCAGAAACGCGAUCUAGAGGAAAAACCGUGGAGGUAUGUGGUCGGGCAGCCGUGAGAAAGUCGUCUCAAAUCAGCCCUAAUUGCUCCAUAUAUAUAUAGGAGGAGGGAGGGGGGCCUUGCCUUGGGGUCCAAGGACCCCCAAGGAGUCGGCCGAGCCAAGGGGGGGACGACUCCCCCCCCAAACCGAGUUGGACUUGGUUUGGUGGGAGGAGUCCCCCUCCCUUCCCACCUCCUUCCCUUUUUUUUUCCUCUUGAUUUUUCUUCUCUUGGCGCAUUGGGCACUUGUGGGCUGUCCCACCAGCCCACUAAGGGCUGGUGUGGCUCCCCAAAUACCUAUGGGCUUCCCCGGGGUGGGUUGACCCCCCCCCCCCCCGGUGAACUCCCGGAACCCAUUCGUCAUUCCCGGUACAUUCCCGGUAACUCCGAAAACCUUCCGGUAAUCAAAUGAGGUCAUCCUAUAUAUCAAUCUUCGUUUCCGGACCAUUCCGGAAACCCUCGUGACGUCUGUGAUCUCAUCCGGGACUCCGAGCAACAUUCGGUAACCAACCAUAUAACUCAAAUACGCAUAAAACAACGUCGAACCUUAAGUGUGCAGACCCUGCGGGUUCGAGAACUAUGUAGACAUGACCCGAGAGACUCCUCGGUCAAUAUCCAAUAGCGGGACCUGGAUGCCCAUAUUGGAUCCUACAUAUUCUACGAAGAUCUUAUCGUUUGAACCUCAGUGCCAAGGAUUCGUAUAAUCCCGUAUGUCAUUCCCUUUGUCCUUCGGUAUGUUACUUGCCCGAGAUUCGAUCGUCAGUAUCCGCAUACCUAUUUCAAUCUCGUUUACCGGCAAUCUCUUUACUCGUUCCGUAAUACAAGAUCCCGCAACUUACACUAAGUUACAUUGCUUGCAAGGCUUAUGUGUGAUGUUGCAUUACCGAGUGGGCCCCGAGAUACCUCUCCGUCACACGGAGUAACAAAUCCCAGUCUUGAUCCAUACUAACUCAACUAACACCUUCGGAGAUACCUGUAGAGCAUCUUUAUAGUCACCCAGUUACGUUGCGACGUUUGAUACACACAAAGCAUUCCUCCGGUGUUAGUAAGUUAUAUGAUCUCAUGGUCAUAGGAAUAAAUACUUGACACGCAGAAAACAGUAGCAACAAAAUGACACGAUCAACAUGCUACGUCUAUUAGUUUGGGUCUAGUCCAUCACGUGAUUCUCCCAAUGACGUGAUCUAGUUAUCAAGCAACAACACCUUGUUCAUAAUCAGAAGACACUGACUAUCAUUGAUCAACUGGCUAGCCAACUAGAGGCAUGCUAGGGACGGUGUUUUGUCUAUGUAUCCACACAUGUAAAUGAGUCUUCAUUCAAUACAAUUAUAGCAUGGAUAAUAAACUACUAUCUUGAUACAGGAAUUAUAAUAAUAACUAUACAUUUAUUAUUGCCUCUAGGGCAUAAUUCCAACAGUCUCCCACUUGCACUAGAGUCAAUAAUCUAGCCCUCACAUCACCAUGUGAAUUACAUUGUAAUAAAUCUAACACCCAUACAGUUCUGGUGUUGAUCAUGUUUUGGCCGUGGAAGAGGUUUAGUCAGCGGGUCUGCUACAUUCAGAUCCGUGUGCACUUUGCAUAUAUUUACGUCCUCCUCCUCGACGUAGUCGCGGAUGAGGUUGAAGCGUCGUUUGAUGUGUCUGGUCUUCUUGUGAAACCUUGGUUCCUUUGCUAAGGCAAUGGCACCAGUGUUGUCACAGAACAAGGUUAUUGGAUCCAGUGCACUCGGCACCACUCCAAGAUCCGUCAUGAACUGCUUCAUCCAGACACCCUCCUUAGCCGCCUCCGAGGCAGCCAUGUACUCCGCUUCACAUGUAGAAUCUGCUACAACGCUUUGCUUGGAACUGCACCAGCUUGCUGCACCCCCAUUAAGAAUAAAUACGUAUCCGGUUUGCGACUUAGAGUCGUCCGGAUCUGUGUCAAAGCCAGCAUCGACGUAACCUUUUACGGCGAGCUCUUCGUCACCUCCAUACACGAGAAACAUCUCCUUAGUCCUUUUCAGGUACUUCAGGAUAUUCUUGACCGCUGUCCAGUGAUCCACUCCUGGAUUACUCUGGAACCUACCUGCCAUACUUAUGGACAGGCUAACAUCCGGUCUAGUGCACAGCAUCCCAUACAUGAUAGAACCUAUGGCGGAAGCAUAGGGGACGGAGCGCAUAUGCUCUCUAUCUUCAUCAGUUGCUGGGCACUGAGUCUUACUCAAUCUCGUACCUUGUAAAACUGGCAAGAACCCUUUCUUGGACUGUUCCAUUUUGAACCUCUUCAAAACUUUAUCAAGGUAUGUGCUUUGUGAAAGUCCUAUCAGGCGUUUUGAUCUAUCCCUAUAGAUCUUAAUGCCUAGAAUGUAAGCAGCUUCUCCUAGGUCCUUCAUAGAGAAACUUUUAUUCAAGUAACCUUUUAUGCUCUCCAAAAGCUCUACGUUGUUUCCAAUCAGUAAUAUGUAAUCCACAUAUAAUAUUAGAAACGCCACAGAGCUCCCACUCACUUUCUUGUAAAUACAAGAUUCUCCAACCACUUGUAUAAACCCAAAUGCUUUGAUCACCUCAUCAAAGCGUUUGUUCCAACUCCGAGAUGCUUGCACCAGUCCAUAAAUGGAUCGCUGGAGCUUGCACACCUUGUCAGCAUUUUUAGGAUCGACAAAACCUUCGGGUUGCAUCAUAUACAACUCUUCCUUAAGGAAACCGUUAAGGAAUGCCGUUUUCACAUCCAUCUGCCAGAUUUCAUAAUCGAAAAAUGCAGCUAUUGCUAACAUGAUUCUGACGGACUUAAGCAUCGCUACGGGUGAGAAAGUCUCAUCGUAGUCAACUCCUGGAACUUGUGAAAAACCCUUUGCCACAAGUCGAGCUUUAUAAACGGUCAUAUUACCGUCAGCGUCCGUCUUCUUCUUAAAGAUCCAUUUGUUCUGAAUAGCCUUGCGGCCCUCAGGUAGUAUCUCCAAAGUCCACACUUUGUUCUCAUACAUGGAUCCUAUCUCGGAUUUCAUGGCUUCUAGCCAUUUGUUGGAAUCUGGGCCCACCAUUGCUUCUUCAUAAUUUGCAGGUUCAUUGUUGUCUAACAACAUGAUUGACAAGACGGGAUUACCGUACCACUCUGGAGCAGCGCGUGAUCUCGUCGACCUGCGUGGUUCAACAGAAACUUGAACUGGAGUUUCAUGAUCAUCAUCAUUAACUUCCUCCUCAACCGGCGUCGCAACGACAGAGGUUUCCCCUUGCCCUGCGCCACCAUCCAGAGGGAUGAGAGGUUCGACAACCUCGUCAAGUUCUAUCUUCCUCCCACUCAAUUCUCUCGAGAGAAACUCCUUCUCGAGAAAAGCUCCGUUUUUAGCAACAAACACUUUGCCCUCGGAUUUGAGAUAGAAGGUGUACCCAACUGUCUCUUUUGGGUAACCUAUGAAGACGCACUUUUCCGCUUUGGGUUCCAGCUUUUCAGGCUGAAGCUUUUUGACAUAAGCAUCACAUCCCCAAACUUUAAGAAACGACAACUUUGGCCUUUUGCCAUACCACAGUUCGUAUGGUGUCGUCUCAACGGAUUUUGAUGGUGCCCUAUUUAAAGUGAAUGCAGCUGUUUCUAAUGCAUAACCCCAAAAUGAUAACGGCAAAUCAGUAAGAGACAUCAUAGAUCGCACCAUCUCUAACAAAGUACGAUUACGACGUUCGGACACACCAUUACACUGUGGUGUUCCAGGCGGUGUUAACUGCGAAACAAUUCCACAUUGUCUUAAGUGAGCACCAAACUCGAAACUCAGAUAUUCACCCCCACGAUCAGACCGUAGGAACUUGAUCUUCUUGUUACGAUGAUUUUCCACUUCACUCUGAAAUUGCUUGAACUUUUCGAAUGUUUCAGACUUGUGCUUCAUCAAGUAGACAUAACCAUAUCUACUUAAAUCGUCAGUGAAGGUGAGAAAAUAACGAUAUCCGCCGCGUGCCUCUACGCUCAUUGGACCACACACAUCGGUAUGUAUGAUUUCCAACAAGUCACUUGCACGCUCCAUUGUUCCGGAGAACGGAGUCUUAGUCAUCUUGCCCAUGAGGCAUGGUUCGCACGUGUCAAGUGAAUCAAAGUCAAGUGACUCCAAAAGUCCAUCAGCAUGGAGUUUCUUCAUGCGCUUUACACCAAUAUGACCCAAGCGACAGUGCCACAAAAAUAUGGCGCUAUCAUUGUUUACUCUAACUCUUUUGGUCUCAAUGUUAUGUAUAUGCGUAUCGCUAUCAAGAUUCAAUAUGAACAAUCCUCUCACAUUCGGUGCAUGACCAUAAAAGAUGUUACUCAUAGAAAUAGAACAACCAUUAUUCUCAGACUUGAAAGAGUAACUGUCUCGCAAUAAACAAGAUCCAGAUAUAAUGUUCAUGCUCAACGCAGGCACUAAAUAACAAUGAUUUAAGUUCAUCACUAAUCCCGAUGGUAGCUGAAGUGACACUGUGCCGACGGCGAUUGCAUCAACCUUGGAACCAUUUCCUACGCGCAUCGUCACUUCGUCUUUCGCCAGCCUUCGUCUAUUCCGUAGUUCCUGCUUCGAGUUGCAAAUGUGAGCAACGGAACCGGUAUCAAAUACCCAGGCACUACUACGAGAGCCGGUUAAGUACACAUCAAUAACAUGUAUAUCAAAUAUACCUGAUUUUUCUUUGCCCGCCCUCUUAUCUGCCAGAUACUUGGGGCAAUUGCGCUUCCAAUGACCCAUACCCUUGCAAUAGAAGCACGCUGUUUCAGGCUUAGGUCCAGCCUUGGGUUUCUUCGGCGGAUUGGCAACAGGCUUGCCGCUCUUCUUUGAAUUGCCCUUCUUGCCUUUGCCGUUUCUCUUGAAACUAGUGGUCUUGCUCACCAUCAACACUUGAUGCUCUUUACGGAGUUCAGACUUUGCGACUUUCAGCAUCGCAAACAACUCGCCGGGAGACUUGUUCAUCCCUUGCAUGUUGUAGUUCAACACAAAGCCUUUAUAGCUUGGCGGCAGUGGUUGAAGGAUUCUGUCAGUGAUAGCUUCUUGCGGGAGUUCAAUCCCCAGUUCAGCUAGACGGUUUGAGUACCCAGACAUUUUGAGCACAUAUUCACUGACAGACGAGUUUUCCUCCAUCUUGCAAGCAUAGAAUUUAUCGGAGGUCUCAUACCUCUCUAUCCGGGCGUUCUUCUGAAAGAUAAACUUCAACUCCUGGAACAUCUCAAAUGCUCCAUGACGCUCAAAGCGACGUUGAAGUCCCGGUUCUAAGCCAUACAAGACUGCACAUUGAACUAUUGAGUAGUCCUCCUUACGCGCUAACCAAGCGUUCUUAACAUCCUGAUCAGCCGUAGCGGGUGGUACAUCUCCUAGUGCAGCAUUAAGGACAUAAUCCUUCUUCCCAGCUUGUAAGAUUAGCUUAAGAUUACGAGCCCAGUCUACAAAGUUGCUUCCAUCAUCUUUCAACUUAGCUUUCUCUAGGAACGUAUUAAAAUUCAGGAUGACACUCGCGUGAGCCAUGAUCUACAACACAAAUAUAUUCAAAGUGGACUUAGACUAUGUUCAAGAUAAUUAGAGUUCAACUUAAUCAAAUUAUAUGCUAAACUCCCACUCAAAAAUACAUCUCUCUAGUCAUUUGAGUGGUUCAUGAUCCACUUACACUAUCCCAAGUCUGAUCAUCACGUGAGUUGAGUAUAGUUUCAGUGGUAAGCAUCCCUAUGCUAAUCAUAUCAACUAUAUGAUUCAUGAUCAAUCUUUCGGUCUCAUGUGUUCCGAGGCCAUGUCUGCACAUGCUAGGCUCGUCAAGCUUAACCCGAGUGUUCCGCGUGCGCAACUGUUUUGCACCCGUUGUAUGUGAACGUUGAGUCUAUCACACCCGAUCAUCACGUGGUGUCUCGAAACGACGAACUGUAGCAACGGUGCACAGUCGGGGAGAACACAAUUUCGUCUUGAAAUUUUAGUGAGAGAUCACCUCAUAAUGCUACCGUCGUUCUAAGCAAAAUAAGGUGCAUAAAAGGAUUAACAUCACAUGCAAUUCAUAAGUGACAUGAUAUAGCCAUCAUCACGUGCUUCUUGAUCUCCAUCACCAAAGCACCGGCACGAUUUUCUUGUCACCGGCGCCACACCAUGAUCAUCCAUCAACGUGUUGCCAUCGGGGUUGUCCUGCUACUUAUGCUAUUACUACUAAAGCUACAUCCUAGCAAAAUAGUAAACGCAUCUGCAAGCACAAACGUUAGUAUAAAGACAACCCUAUGGCUCCUGCCGGUUGCCGUACCAUCGACGUGCAAGUCGAUAUUUCUAUUACAACAUGAUCAUCUCAUACAUCCAAUAUAUCACAUCACAUCAUUGGCCAUAUCACAUCACAAUCAUACCCUGCAAAAACAAGUUAGACAUCCUCUAAUUUUGUUGUUGCAUGUUUUACGAGGUGACCAAGGGUAUCUAGUAGGAUCGCAUCUUACUUACGCAAACACCACAACGGAGAUAUAUGAGUUGCUAUUUAACCUCAUCCAAGGACCUCCUCGGUCAAAUCCGAUUCAACUAAAGUUGGAGAAACCGUCACUUGCCAGUCAUCUUUGAGCAAAGGGGGUUACUCGUAACGAUGAAACCAGUCUCUCGUAAGCGUACAAGUAAUGUCGGUCCAAGCCGCUUCAAUCCAACAAUACCGCGGAAUCAAGAAAAGACUAAGGAGGGCAGCAAAACGCACAUCACCGCCCACAAAAACUUUUGUGUUCUACUCGAGAAGACAUCUACGCAUGAACCUAGCUCAUGAUGCCACUGUUGGGGAACGUCGCAUGGGAAACAAAAAAUUUCCUACGCGCACGAAGACCUAUCAUGGUGAUGUCCAUCUACGAGAGGGGAUGAGUGAUCUACGUACCCUUGUAGAUCGUACAGCAGAAGCGUUAGAGAACGCGGUUGAUGUAGUGGAACGUCCUCACGUCCCUCGAUCCGCCCCGCGAACAAUCCCGCGAUCAGUCCCACGAUCUAGUACCGAACGGACGGCACCUCCGCGUUCAGCACACGUACAGCUCGACGAUGAUCUCGGCCUUCUUGAUCCAGCAAGAGAGACGGAGAGGUAGAAGAGUUCUCUGGCAGCGUGACGGCGCUCCGGAGGUUGGUGAUGACCUUGUCUCAGUAGGGCUCCGCCCGAGCUCCGCAGAAACGCGAUUUAGAGGAAAAACCGUGGAGGUAUGUGGUCGGGCAGCCGUGAGAAAGUCGUCUCAAAUCAGCCCUAAUUGCUCCAUAUAUAUAGGAGGAGGGAGGGGGGCCUUGCCUUGGGGUCCAAGGACCCCCAAGGAGUCGGCCGAGCCAAGGGGGGGAGGACUCCCCCCCCAAACCGAGUUGGACUUGGUUUGGUGGGAGGAGUCCCCCUCCCUUCCCACCUCCUUCCCUUUUUUUUUCUUUCCUCUUGAUUUUUCUUCUCUUGGCGCAUUGGGCACUUGUGGGCUGUCCCACCAGCCCACUAAGGGCUGGUGUGGCUCCCCAAAUACCUAUGGGCUUCCCCGGGGUGGGUUGACCCCCCCCCCCCCCCGGUCGAACUCCCGGAACCCAUUCGUCAUUCCCGGUACAUUCCCGGUAACUCCGAAAACCUUCCGGUAAUCAGAUGAGGUCAUCCUAUAUAUCAAUCUUCGUUUCCGGACCAUUCCGGAAACCCUCGUGACGUCUGUGAUCUCAUCCGGGACUCCGAACAACAUUCGGUAACCAACCAUAUAACUCAAAUACGCAUAAAACAACGUCGAACCUUAAGUGUGCAGACCCUGCGGGUUCGAGAACUAUGUAGACAUGACCCGAGAGACUCCUCGGUCAAUAUCCAAUAGCGGGACCUGGAUGCCCAUAUUGGAUCCUACAUAUUCUACGAAGAUCUUAUCGUUUGAACCUCAGUGCCAAGGAUUCGUAUAAUCCCGUAUGUCAUUCCCUUUGUCCUUCGGUAUGUUACUUGCCCGAGAUUCGAUCGUCAGUAUCCGCAUACCUAUUUCAAUCUCGUUUACCGGCAAGUCUCUUUACUCGUUCCGUAAUACAAGAUCCCGCAACUUACACUAAGUUACAUUGCUUGCAAGGCUUAUGUGUGAUGUUGCAUUACCGAGUGGGCCCCGAGAUACCUCUCCGUCACACGGAGUAACAAAUCCCAGUCUUGAUCCAUACUAACUCAACUAACACCUUCGGAGAUACCUGUAGAGCAUCUUUAUAGUCACCCAGUUACGUUGCGACGUUUGAUACACACAAAGCAUUCCUCCGGUGUUAGUAAGUUAUAUGAUCUCAUGGUCAUAGGAAUAAAUACUUGACACGCAGAAAAUAGUAGCAACAAAAUGACACGAUCAACAUGCUACGUCUAUUAGUUUGGGUCUAGUCCAUCACGUGAUUCUCCCAAUGACGUGAUCUAGUUAUCAAGCAACAACACCUUGUUCAUAAUCAGAAGACACUGACUAUCAUUGAUCAACUGGCUAGCCAACUAGAGGCAUGCUAGGGACGGUGUUUUGUCUAUGUAUCCACACAUGUAAAUGAGUCUUCAUUCAAUACAAUUAUAGCAUGGAUAAUAAACUACUAUCUUGAUACAGGAAUUAUAAUAAUAACUAUACAUUUAUUAUUGCCUCUAGGGCAUAAUUCCAACAAUUUUAUCCUCCUACGAUGGAGGGAUAUUCUUGGGCCUUCUCGGUGUUACGAUAUCCAUCAUCAUGUGGCUAGACAUAGUGUGAUUUGAUCACAGGGAUACCAGAAUGCGGAAACAAGAACAGAGAAGAAAACUAGUAAUAAGGAGACUGGCAUAGUAAACAAGUUGUUGACUCACGGGGAUGCUGAUAAAUCUCACCACGGGUAUUUGUAACAUAUCACGAAGCAACACGAAGAACAUACGAUAACUAAAGGUUCACCCGAAUAUUUAUUCGUGUGGGUAUAGGGGUCAAUAUGGAUGUCCAUGGUUCCGCUAUUGACCAUUGAUCAGAAGGCGUUCCGGUCAUGUGUAUACUCCACCGAAUCUACAGUAUCACACAUUAACAGUCAUCUAUGUACUAAGUACUAGAUAGGGAGUGUGAGAAAUUCACCCGAAGACACCAAAAAUGUUUCGAGGAUAAAACCAGAAGUGUUUCGGAGAAACCGGCAAGUUGUUUCAGAAAAUACCAUCAUAUAGGAAAUAUUUCAGAACGCGUCCAGAAUUUUCGAGGGUGCCAAAAAGUUCAGGGACCUUCUGGAAUUUUCAUGGUGAGAACGCAUGCGUAAAACAUCUUGUCCAAGUGAAAAGGGACAAGAUCCCAUGAAUCAUGAGAGUGUUUUAUGGGGGCGUCCCCUUUGGUGGGUUGCUUUGUGGAGGGGAGGGACGAUUUUGGCCUUCAUCCUCAUGCUCCCUCCACCCCUUGCUCACACUAUAAAUGAAGAUGAAGAGGGCUCUCCAUAUCACUCAAGUUUCUCACCACAAAGGCAUGCAAUGAUUUAUCAUUCUUUCUCUCCCUCCAUGAAAUAGUUUCGUAGUGCCGAAAGAUUGUCUGGUUUGCGGUAGGGAUUAGUUCUGAACAAUGAAUCCCUACUGGAUAGGUGACAUUGGAUGUGUGCAAUCCAUUACAGAGGUCGUCGUCCGAUCUUCGGUUCGAUGCAUGUCCAAGGAAGAGUUCGAGGGAGAACAUCCGUGCAGUUGGGAGUUGUAAAAUCCUAUCUGCGGGGAUCUGCACCGACACCGACUCUACUUUCGCUGCACUAUGAGUUGAUAAUGAUCAAAUCAAACCUUAUUUGCAUCUUCAUAGUGAUCUUGGGCAUGUUCAUAAUUCAUUUUUUUAUUUUCUAUUGCAUUUCCCUACACAUUAUUGGUCCUUUUUCAAGCUCCAGAGGUAGGGGCCCCCAAGAGCCCCGAAGACCACAUUGUCCUCGAUAAGCUCAUUGAAUUAUAACCUCAAGUUUCAUGGGACGAGUGUAACAAAAAACAAAACAUUGAUGAAAAAGUAAUAGAAACAAAAGGAAAUAACUAACAUUUCAUGUUAGAAAAUAGGUAUGUUACCAUUGAAGCGCAAAACACUAUCGGAAAUAGAUGCGGAACAACGAGUCAGCUUGUGAGGCUUGUGGCGCACCAUGACUUGCAUUGUUGACAUGGCACCAUUUUCCUAUUAGACAAGAAAUUACAAGGGAUAAAUAUCAAUCAAAAGAAAUAGACUAGGCUAAAAAAAAUCAACACAAAAGCCUAUCAUGGGAUCGGAUUCUACACUAUUAAAAUUGAAUCCUACACUAAGCAUAUCAAUCAAUCAGAUUCUACACUUCUAAAUUCUACAGUGCAAUAAUUAGAUUCUACAUAAAGAAAUCUAAUCUACACAAAAGAAAUCGGAUUCUACACUAAGAACUAAAAUUCUCCACAUACAAAAUCGGAUUCUACACUACUAAAAUUUCUACGCAAAGAAAUCUGAUCCAUGGUUAGGGUUUCUAAUCUACAAAAUAAAAUCUACUUUACUAAACAAAUUACACGAAACAAUCUAGUCUACAAAAAAUCAACACAAAAGCCUAAAAUCGGAUUCCAUAAGGAAACUAAAAUUGAAUUCUACACUACUUACAUUCUACAUAAAUCAACCUAAUCCAUGGAUUACAUGGGGGCCGUGUGCGAGGGAAACGCUAGGGGGGGAGGGAGAGAUGCAAGGCGAGGGGGUCAAACUUGUUGUCGAGGUGACCCUCUUCGGCGGUGUGGCGAUGUGUCUGUAGAUCCAUCGACGACGAGCGAUAAGGUCUCGGAGGCGGCGACGGGGACGACGGCGAGGCGGGGUUGAUGGGGAUGGUGUGGAGUGGGUGGGUGCGAGUCGGG
rnacentral:lncRNA from 1 species